AUAUGUCUUGGAACUUUUCUUGUUUCUUAUGUCAUUAAAUUUAGAAAAAUACCUAUGGAUGGGCCUGAGUUCAAUGUGAAAGUUUUCUUUUUGAGUUUAUGUGAAAACGGAAAAAGAUAGAAGGUAUUUACUGACUUUAGACCAACAUUAAACAAUUUUAUAACGACUCUUUUAACUUUCUGAAAGAAAUAAUUAGACUAUACAGAUGAAAGAGGAUAUUCCUAAUUGACACUGGUCUUCAUCAACAGGACCCCUCCGCUGGAGCUGAGGAUGACUUUGGAGGAUCCCAUGGAUACCACGGCCGGACCAUCGGCAGGAGGACCCCUUCGCUGAAGCGUAGGAUGACCUGGAGGAGGACCCAUGGAUACCACGGCUGGACCAUCGGCAGGAGGACCCCAAUGACCUGAAGGAGGAUCCAUGGGUACUACGGCUGGACCAUCGGCAGGAGGACCCCUCCGCUGAAGAGGAGGAUGACCCGGAGGAGGAUCCCAUGGAUACCACGGCCGGACCAUCGGCAGGAGGAUCCCUCCGCUGAAGCUAGGAUGACCUGGAGGAGGACGCAUGGAUACCACGAUCCAUUGGCAGGAGGACCCCAAUGAGCUGAAGGAGGACCCAUGGAUACCACGGCCGGACCAUCGGCAGGAGGACCCCUACGCUGGAACGGAGGAUGACCUGGAGGAGGA